AAAGUCGUAACAAGGUCUCCGUUGGUGAACCAGCGGAGGGAUCAUUACCGAGUUUACAACUCCCAAACCCCUGUGAACAUACCUACGUUGCUUCGGCGGACCACCCCAACCCCCUCGGGGCGAGGGGCCGCCAGAGGACCCAAAACCCAACUGUUUUUUCCGUAACGAAACCUAUUCUGAGUGGAAUUAUUAAAUAAAUCAAAACUUUCAACAACGGAUCUCUUGGCUCUC
rnacentral:misc_RNA from 1 species